AUUAAAUGAUCUAAAUCCUUUUCAUCAUUUUGACUUAACAUGGAUAUAAUAGCAACAUUGGAUGCAUCAAUAUAAAUAUAAAAUAGUUUCAUCCAACAAGGUGCAACCAUUACUAGUACAAACAUCAAUUUUUGUUUCAAUUCUUCAAAAGCAAUUAUACAUUCUUCAGCCCAAAUUAGACUAGAACCAUCCGCCAUGAGUUUCUGUAAGAGAUU
rnacentral:lncRNA from 1 species